rnacentral:ncRNA from 1 species
UUAUCAGCAUAAAAUUAUCUUGUGCCUUUACACAGUAAUGUGUAUUGAAAACUCCUUUAAUUCAUGGGAAAUCUUAAUUAAGACAAUCAUGAGCCAAGCCUAGCAAUAGGAAGGUGCAACGACUAGAGAAAGGGUAGCUUACUAUUAUAGGUAGUAAGUGAGAACCGAGUAUCGUACGCUCAAGUGAGUGGAAAUGGGGAGUGUCCUAGAGUAACGACUAGGAUAAUGAUAUAGUCUGAACAUAUAUGGAAACAUAUAG